UACGGGGGGAGCAAGGCGUUGUUCGGAUUUACUGGGCGUAAAGGGCGCGUAGGCGGCCAGCACAAGUCAGUUGUGAAAUCUCCGGGCUUAACUCGGAAAGGUCAACUGAUACUGUGCGGCUAGAGUGCAGAAGGGGCAACUGGAAUUCUCGGUGUAGCGGUGAAAUGCGUAGAUAUCGAGAGGAACACCGGUGGCGAAGGCGGGUCUCUGGGCCGAUACUGACGCUGAGGAGCGAAAGCGUGGGGAGCGAACAGG
rnacentral:rRNA from 1 species